rnacentral:lncRNA from 1 species
GGAGUCUUCAAUGGCAGCUCGACGGCCACUGAACUUUCUCCUCUUUUCGACCCCUGGCACCCCCUCGGGACGGACCUCUAGAACGGGAACCUCUGUGGGAGAAUUCCAUGAAAAGACUCGGGGAACUGAAGGCUCGGCGUCCAAAGGGACGUCAGCAGCAAGGGCAGUCUGGGCAGGUAUGGCUGAGCUCGCCUCUCCCAUUCUGGUCUUCUUUGCCGGCCCGAUGGUUGCGGUGCCUUUUCUCUUGUAGGCCUUGAGGCCCCUUGCCAGCAGUUGUACGGCUUCCGCGCCUUCCGCGUCCAUGCCUACAACAAGAAGACA